CCUACGGGAGGCAGCAGUGGGGAAUAUUGGGCAAUGGGCGAAAGCCUGAUCCAGCAAUGCCGCGUGAGUGAUGAAGGCCUUAGGGUUGUAAAGCUCUUUUACCAGGGAUGAUAAUGACAGUACCUGGAGAAUAAGCUCCGGCUAACUCCGUGCCAGCAGCCGCGGUAAUACGGAGGGAGCUAGCGUUGUUCGGAAUUACUGGGCGUAAAGCGUACGUAGGCGGUUAUUCAAGUCAGAGGUGAAAGCCUGGAGCUCAACUCCAGAACUGCCUUUGAAACUAGAUAGCUAGAAUCUUGGAGAGGUGAGUGGAAUUCCGAGUGUAGAGGUGAAAUUCGUAGAUAUUCGGAAGAACACCAGUGGCGAAGGCGACUCACUGGACAAGUAUUGACGCUGAGGUACGAAAGCGUGGGGAGCAAACAGGAUUAGAUACCCUGGUAGUCCCGACGACCGUAACGAUAGAUAACUAGACUGUUCGGUCGUCUACGACGCGUGUAGUGGCGCGAGACUAACG
rnacentral:rRNA from 1 species